rnacentral:rRNA from 1 species
UACGUAGGUGGCAAGCGUUGUCCGGAUUUACUGGGCGUAAAGAGCGCGCAGGCGGUCGUUCAAGUCGCGUGUGAAAGCCCCCGGCUCAACUGGGGAGGGUCACGCGAUACUGCUCGACUCGAAGGUAGGAGAGGGUAGUGGAAUUCCCGGUGUAGUGGUGAAAUGCGUAGAUAUCGGGAGGAACACCAGUGGCGAAGGCGACUACCUGGCCUGUUUCUUGACGCUGAGGCGCGAAAGCUAGGGGAGCAAACGGG